GGAGCGCUCGGUGGCCCCCGCCGGGCCCCCGGAGGAGCCGCCGGGCGAGCGCGCGGGCGGGCGCGCGCGUGUCCCGGUUGUGCAGCCCGAGAGUCCUCCCCGCCCGCCCCGCGCGCUCCUCCCUCCCUCCCCGCGUCCCUCCCUCGUGCUCGUCGCCCUGAGUCGCGCGGGUGAGCGGCCGCCACCUCCUCGCCCGCGGGUGCCCGCUCGGCUCGGCCACCAUGGGGAAUGGGAUGAACAAGAUCCUGCCCGGGCUGUACAUCGGCAACUUCAAAGAUGCCAGGGAUGCAGAGCAACUGAGCAAGAACAAAGUGACGCAUAUUUUGUCUGUCCAUGACAGUGCCCGGCCGAUGUUGGAGG